UUUGUGAACAAUAAUGUUUGUGGCAAUGUUGUUAUGGAAACACAAAUGGAUAGUUUCCUUGUAUUAAGAUGUUCAUAGAAAAGCGCACCUAAGUGCUUAGAAUUUUAUGUUUGCUGUGAAAUUAACUCAUUCAUGCAAACGGCUGAUGAAAGGGCUGGCAUAAGAAAAUCUGAGGACGUGAACAGUUCUUCUGGAGGAAGCAGUCAUUCACUUGCACUUCUGACAAUCUACUGUGCACUAUUCAGUGCUCACAAUGUAGCCUCCUCUGCAAUGGAGAAACCACAUGCAGAUUGAAUGACUGCUCGGUGGAGUACCAGCAAUCCGUCCACAGACCCAAACUCCCUAGCUUCCUGUUUCUUUUCAGUUAAUUUCCCCACUCUCACUCUGACCCAUCCAUCUGUGGCCUCCUUCAAGGUUCCAGUGAAGCGUGAAUAAUAUCAUCUCUCUACACAUGUUACAGUCUUCUGGAUUCAAUACUAAAUUCAGGGCCGGCAGAUUCUUUGUCCCAUCAAGCUAUGUACUGGUCUCGACGAAGCUUCUCGGCCCGAAACAUC